GAUGAACGCUGGCGGCGUGCUUAACACAUGCCAGUCGAACGAAGCAUUUAGGACAGAUUACUUCGGUUUGAAGUUCUUUAUGACUGAGUGGCGGACGGGUGAGUAACGCGUGGGUAACCUGCCUUGUACUGGGGGAUAGCAGCUGGAAACGGCUGGUAAUACCGCAUAAGCGCACAAUGUUGCAUGACAUGGUGUGAAAAACUCCGGUGGUAUAAGAUGGACCCGCGUCUGAUUAGCUAGUUGGUGAGAUAACAGCCCACCAAGGCGACGAUCAGUAGCCGACCUGAGAGGGUGACCGGCCACAUUGGGACUGAGACACGGCCCAGACUCCUACGGGAGGCAGCAGUGGGGAAUAUUGCACAAUGGAGGAAACUCUGAUGCAGCGACGCCGCGUGAGUGAAGAAGUAAUUCGUUAUGUAAAGCUCUAUCAGCAGGGAAGAUAGUGACGGUACCUGACGAAGAAGCUCCGGCUAAAUACGUG
rnacentral:rRNA from 1 species